rnacentral:rRNA from 1 species
AUUGAACGCUGGCGGCAGGCUUAACACAUGCAAGUCGAACGAGUGGCGGACGGGUGAGUAAUGCUUGGGAAUCUGCCUUAUGGAGGGGGAUAACGACUGGAAACUGUCGCUAAUACCGCGUACCAUCGGAUGAGCCCAGGUGGGAUUAGGUAGUUGGUGGGGUAAUGGCUCACCUAGCCGACGAUCCCUAGCUGGUCUGAGAGGAUGACCAGCCACACCGGGACUGAGACACGGCCCGGACUCCUACGGGAGGCAGCAGUGGGGAAUAGUGCACAAUGGGGGCAACCCUGAUGCAGCCAUGCCGCGUGAAGGAAGAAGGCCUUCGGGUUGUAAAGUACUUUCGGUGAGGAGGCGUUAAUCGCAGAAGAAGCACCGGCUAACUCCGUGCCAGCAGCCGCGGUAAUUC